rnacentral:rRNA from 1 species
AUUGAACGCUGGCGGCAGGCCUAACACAUGCAAGUCGAACGAGUGGCGGACGGGUGAGUAAUGUCUGGGAAACUGCCUGAUGGAGGGGGAUAACUACUGGAAACGGUAGCUAAUACCGCAUACCAUCAGAUGUGCCCAGAUGGGAUGAGCUAGUUGGUGGGGUGACGGCUCACCAAGGCGACGAUCCCUAGCUGGUCUGAGCGGAUGACCAGCCACACUGGCACUGAGACACGGUCCAGAGUCCUACGGGAGGCAGCAGUGGGGAAUAUGGCACAAUGGGCGCAAGCCUGAUGGAGGCAUGCCGCGUGUAUGAAGAAGGCCUUCGGGUUGUAGAGUACUGUCAGCGGGGAGGCGUUACCCGCAGAAGAAGCACCGGCUAACUCCGUGCCAGCCGCCGCGGUAAUUC